CAGCCGCCGCGGGAAUACGGAGGGUGCAAGCGUUAAUCGGAAUUACUGGGCGUAAAGCGCGCGUAGGUGGUUUGUUAAGUUGGAUGUGAAAUCCCCGGGCUCAACCUGGGAACUGCAUCCAAAACUGGCAAGCUAGAGUAUGGUAGAGGGUGGUGGAAUUUCCUGUGUAGCGGUGAAAUGCGUAGAUAUAGGAAGGAACACCAGUGGCGAAGGCGACCACCUGGACUGAUACUGACACUGAGGUGCGAAAGCGUGGGGAGCAAACAGGAUUAGAUACCCCGGUAGUCCCUGUCUCUUAUAC
rnacentral:rRNA from 1 species